AAAAAGUGCCCCCGUUGGAGGUGGGGAGAACAGAAUGGCCUGUUUGUUGGCACAUCCUCAAUCCCCAGCAACCUGACCACAUCUGCUCAGUGGUCACCUCACCUAGUUUCCUGCAACUGCGUGCUUAUCGUGGCUGUCACCUACAUCACUGCCAGAAUCACUCUAUUUGGAUUCAGGGGAUGCAGAGCUGAUGAUGUUGCUGUCUUUGAAGAUCUCAAUUUGCUGCAACUCCACAGCCCCACCCACCUGGAGGAAUUUCACUUGCUCCAGCUGGACACGAUGAGAGUACUCAUAGAAGGGCUUGUUGUCCACAAUCACCUGAGCGGCCUUUUCCUAAACCCUCAUGGGUGAAAAUCUUGUAAAUAUGUGAAGAAAUCCUUGUGUCGGGUACCUCUGGCUGUCCUUUGGCACUGAGCCACGGAUAUUCACCAACAUCCCAAGGAGAAAGCCCCCAGCGACAGAGAUGUUGCAAGGAGUCCCCUGGAAGAGAGAGACAUCUGAGGAGAAGAGGUUUGCAGCCCUGACAAGUCACACCCCUCACACCCCAUGUGGAUCAAACUAAAGCAGAUCUGACAGGAUCUCUGAGAACCCCACACCCACCUGACCCCACCGGGCUGGAUGUGGCAGCAGCAUGACACUGGGGAGUCUGAAAGCUUCCCACAGCCUCAUCUCAUAAAGGACAAGUUGGUCUCAGCUCUGCCUAGCCUGCUGGAUGGCCCAUUAAGGACCAUCAGCUACACAAUUGACCCACUGAGAGAAGGCAGACACAUCUUGGGACUCAGCAAGGUGUGCAGGGACAUAUCUAUGGACAGAACUGAGGUUUUUCCAUGCCAUGUGAUGGACAGCUUGUCUUUGGGACAAAGAAAGAAAGACUACAUGGCAAGAUAAUAUAGAAAGCUGCUGCAGCCCCUCUGUCUUGUCUUCAGUCCUGCUUCUUAUCUCUGGGGGGACUUUGCUACACUGAAGCUUUGAACAAAGGACUAAAAGACCCAUCCCAGCUGUGGAUGUUCUCCAGAGACUGGAUCUGAACCUGCAGUUUAGUCCAUCACGGCUGCGAGCCUGAACCAAGAACUUUGCCAGGAUUGUAUGUAAUUGAUUCCAUGUAACCAA